AUGAUCUUUGGUAAAAAACUAGGUCCUUUCAACGGAUAAUCCGGAAGCUCUUCCUUGUUCGAAAAAAUCGAAGAAUGAAGAACUGACCGCGUGAAAAUCUACAAUCAAGAUCGAGUGUUUGCUCGCGCUAAAGGAAAAAUACGAAGGGAGAAAUAACCUACCGGGUUCGACGCGUCCGGUGAUUCUUCUUCUCUUUCGACUAUGCGUCUGUUACCGCUUACGUGUUUCAAUCUCGUUCUGUUUCCGCAAUCGCGCGCGUGUUGAAUGAUGACGAGUGUGGCGUUGUUCGUCACGCUGAUUCGUUCCGCCGCUGAAUGAAACGUUGGUAGAUUGGCAAGAUUCCCGGUUGAAGAAGCGACUCGAUUUCGACCUCAACUGUUCGUUGACGGAUUCAUGAUGACGAGUCGAAGGGUGAAGGUUAUUUGGAGAUGUGGUUUUAGAGGUUAUGGGUUUUGGUUAUCGAUUGUUACCGAUUGAGGGGAAGAUGAUGCAGAGUGAUGGUUGAGUUGGAGGGUUCUUCCAGAAUUCUGGACUGUUGAAGAUUGGUUCAAGGAGUGACGGGUGAGUCUUGUGCAUGAUGAUGGUGGAGGGAGUCGGUGAGGGAAAAGGUUGAAGAGUUUUAUUUCUGUUGUGGAAUUUUUCCUUCUCGGUUCUUAGAUGGUUGUAGCAGUUAUGAAGGUGGUUAUCAAUUGGUAAGAAAUCUGUUUAGAGGUGGUAGGGUUGGUUGAAGUUUUGUUAGAAGAAGUGGAGUUUGAAGAAGAGAGUGAAGGUUAAGGGAGGUUUUCGGAUGUGACUGUCUUGUGAAAAUCAUGGUUAUUUUACUGCUUGUUUAUGCAGGUAGUUCGGUUUAUGCGCUGCCGUCGUUUUGGAUGAUUUGCAUUUUCAACCUUCUAUUGCACCGUGUUCGGUUUGUACUUUUGGCCGUGUUUUGCAGCUUUCGCGUUUGGUUGCAGCCGUGUUGCUGCAUUUGCUUUGGACGUCGAGCAUCAGAUUAUUCAUGCGGAUUUGAAGCUCUCCACUGAUUGCUUGACUGUAUAGCAGUCUAGUUUGGGAUUCCGAAACAAAUGGGAACCAAGCUAAUACGACCACUGAUGUAAAGAUAACCAACCCCAUAAGGUAUUCACACCCUCUUGAUAAAGCUUUGAUAGAACCUCACAUUCCAAUGGCCUUUAUGAACGGCCUACAUGCUUGUGCUAUCUGGACAAGUGCCCACCCUGUUGGCAAAAAUGCUAUCCAGGAUAAACCAUAAACCGUGAUGCUCUGGCCACCUUUGGCUACAUUUGAAUGAUACACAAUCGCAUAUUGGUAAACAAAGGAAUGAAAGUCAAGAAUUAUCUCCCAAAUCAACUCCCAUAUUCCAGUAUGCUGCAAAUGCUUCUGUUCUUCAUAUAUCUCCACCUGUUUUGUGUAUUUUCCUCCAUAUUUUCUUUUAAUUCCAACCAAUUAUUGUAAUAUGUAUUAGUCAUUAGGAUGUAAUAAGUUGUAAUAGUAUUUAGCUUAUAUAAAAUGAUUCACACAAUGCCAAAUUUCAUGUAAUGCAAUGCAUAUGGACAUGUUUAUGUGAUCAUGAUUUAAUGCAAUAUCAAUUUUUAUGAA